rnacentral:rRNA from 1 species
CCCAAUGGAGGAAAGUCACUUUCGAGCAACGGGGGGAAAAAGUGAUGAAUGUUUCCCGGAUCGUAAGGUCUGUUGUUAGGGAAGAACAAGUACCGUUCGAAUAGGGCGGUACCUUGACGGUACCUAACCAGAAAGCCACGGCUAACUACGUGCCAGCAGCCGCGGUAAUACGUAGGUGGCAAGCGUUGUCCGGAAUUAUUGGGCGUAAAGCGCGCGCAGGCGGUUUCUUAAGUCUGAUGUGAAAGCCCCCGGCUCAACCGGGGAGGGUCAUUGGAAACUGGGGAACUUGAGUGCAGAAGAGGAGAGUGGAAUUCCACGUGUAGCGGUGAAAUGCGUAGAGAUGUGGAGGAACACCAGUGGCGAAGGCGACUCUCUGGUCUGUAACUGACGCUAAAGCCCAAAACCCGGGAGCAAACAGGGAUUACAUAACCCUGGGCAACCCACGCCGUAAACAAGGAUUGCUAAAUGUUAAAAGGAUUUCCCCCCUUAAAGCUGCAACAAACCGGGACGACUCUC